rnacentral:rRNA from 1 species
UACGGGGGAGCAAGCGUUGUUCGGAUUUACUGGGCGUAAAGGGCGCGUAGGCGGCCAGUGCAAGUCAGUUGUGAAAUCUCCGGGCUUAACUCGGAAAGGUCAACUGAUACUGUGCGACUAGAGUGCAGAAGGGGCAACUGGAAUUCUCGGCGUAGCGGUGAAAUGCGUAGAUAUCGAGAGGAACACCUGCGGCGAAGGCGGGUUGCUGGGCUGACACUGACGCUGAUGCGCGAAAGCCAGGGGAGGCGAACGGG